AGUGAACGCUGGCGGUAGGCCUAACACAUGCAAGUCGAACGGCAGCACAGUAAGAGCUUGCUCUUACGGGUGGCGAGUGGCGGACGGGUGAGGAAUACAUCGGAAUCUACUUUUUCGUGGGGGAUAACGUAGGGAAACUUACGCUAAUACCGCAUACGACCUACGGGUGAAAGCAGGGGAUCUUCGGACCUUGCGCGAUUGAAUAAGCCGGUGUCGGAUUAGCUAGUUGGCGGGGUAAAGGCCCACCAAGGCGACGAUCCGUAGCUGGUCUGAGAGGAUGAUCAGCCACACUGGAACUGAGACACGGUCCAGACUCCUACGGGAGGCAGCAGUGGGGAAUAUUGGACAAUGGGCGCAAGCCUGAUCCAGCCAUACCGCGUGGGUGAAGAAGGCCUUCGGGUUGUAAAGCCCUUUUGUUGGGAAAGAAAAGCAGCAGGUUAAUACCCCGCUGUUCUGACGGUACCCAAAGAAUAAGCACCGGCUAACUUCGUG
rnacentral:rRNA from 1 species